rnacentral:rRNA from 1 species
GUGUCAGCCGCCGCGGUAAUACGGAGGGGGCUAGCGUUGCUCGGAAUUACUGGGCGUAAAGGGCGCGUAGGCGGAUUGUCAAGUCAGGCGUGAAAGCCCCGGGCUCAACCCGGGAACUGCGCUUGAGACUGAUGAUCUCGAGUUCGGGAGAGGGUGGUGGAAUUCCCAGUGUAGAGGUGAAAUUCGUAGAUAUUGGGAAGAACACCAGUGGCGAAGGCGGCCACCUGGCCCGAUACUGACGCUGAGGCGCGAAAGCGUGGGGAGCAAACAGGAUUAGAUACCCUGGUAGUCCACGCCGUAAACGAUGUGUGCUAGACGUCGGGCAGCAUGCUGUUCGGUGUCGCAGCUAACGCGAUAAGCACACCGCCUGGGGAGUACGGCCGCAAGGUUAAAACUCAAAUGAAUUGGCGGGG